rnacentral:rRNA from 1 species
UCAGGACGAACGCUGGCGGCGUGCUUAACACAUGCAAGUCGAACGAUGAAGCCUUCGGGUGGAUUAGUGGCGAACGGGUGAGUAACACGUGGGCAAUCUGCCCUGCACUCUGGGACAAGCCCUGGAAACGGGGUCUAAUACCGGGUAAUACUGUUCCCCUCCUGGGGGAUGGUUGAAAGCUCCGGCGGUGCAGGAUGAGCCCGCGGCCUAUCAGCUUGUUGGUGGGGUAAUGGCCUACCAAGGCGACGACGGGUAGCCGGCCUGAGAGGGCGACCGGCCACACUGGGACUGAGACACGGCCCAGACUCCUACGGGAGGCAGCAGUGGGGAAUAUUGCACAAUGGGCGAAAGCCUGAUGCAGCGACGCCGCGUGAGGGGUGACGGCCUUCGGGUUGUAAACCUCUUUCAGCAGGGAAGAAGCGAAAGUGACGGUACCUGCAGAAGAAGCGCCGGCUAACUACGUGCCAGCAGCCGCGGUAAUACGUAGGGCGCAAGCGUUGUCCGGAAUUAUUGGGCGUAAAGAGCUCGUAGGCGGUCUGUCACGUCGGGUGUGAAAGCCCGGGGCUUAACCCCGGGUC